rnacentral:rRNA from 1 species
UACGGAGGGAGCUAGCGUUAUUCGGAAUUACUGGGCGUAAAGCGCACGUAGGCGGAUUGUUAAGUCGGGGGUGAAAUCCUGGAGCUCAACUCCAGAACUGCCUUCGAAACUGGCGAUCUUGAGUCCGGGAGAGGUGAGUGGAACUGCGAGUGUAGAGGUGAAAUUCGUAGAUAUGCGCAAGAACACCAGUGGCGAAGGCGGCUCACUGGCCCGGUACUGACGCUGAGGUGCGAAAGCGUGGGGAGCAAACAGG